CAGUCGCCGCGUUAAUACGAAGGGUGCAAGCGUUAAUCGGAAUUACUGGGCGUAAAGCGUGCGUAGGCGGUUUGUUAAGUCUGCUGUGAAAUCCCCGGGCUCAACCUGGGAAUGGCAGUGGAUACUGGCAAGCUAGAGUGUGUCAGAGGAUGGUGGAAUUCCCGGUGUAGCGGUGAAAUGCGUAGAGAUCGGGAGGAACAUCAGUGGCGAAGGCGGCAUCUGGGGCAACACUGACGCUGAGGCACGAAAGCGUGGGGAGCAAACAGGAUUAGAUACCCGCGUAGUCCCUGUCUCUUAUACA
rnacentral:rRNA from 1 species